rnacentral:rRNA from 1 species
ACGGCGAGUGAACAGGCAAGAGCUCAGAUUUGAAAGCCUUUUUGGCAUUGUAUUCUGAAGUAUUUAUCCUGAGUAAUGAUGUCUAAGUCUUCUGGAAAGGAGCGCCAUGGAGGGUGAUAGCCCCGUGUGACAUCCCACUCAUUGUAGGAUUUAUACGUGGAGUCGAGUUGUUUGGGAAUGCAGCUCAAACGGGUGGUAUGCUCCAUCUAAAGCUAAAUAUCUGUGAGAGACCGAUAGCGAACAAGUACUGUGAAGGAAAGAUGAAAAGAACUUUGAAAAGAGAGUGAAAAAGUACGUGAAAUUGUUGAAAUGGAAGGGUAGGCCGCUAACCAUGUAGAACCGUGUUUGGGGGGAAGAUAAAAGCUGAAGAAUGUGGCUCCUCGGAGUGUUAUAGCUUCAGUCAAUAUUCCCAUCCGAGCGCGAGGAUC